rnacentral:rRNA from 1 species
UACGGAGGGUGCAAGCGUUAUCCGGAUUCACUGGGCUUAAAGGGUGCGUAGGAGGGCAGGUAAGUCAGUGGUGAAAUCUCCAAGCUUAACUUGGAAACUGCCGUUGAUACUAUCUGUCUUGAAUACCGUGGAGGUGAGCGGAAUAUGUCAUGUAGCGGUGAAAUGCUUAGAUAUGACAUAGAACACCAAUUGCGAAGGCAGCUCGCUACACGAAUAUUGACUCUGAGGCACGAAAGCGUGGGGAGCAAACAGG